UACGUAGGGUGCAAGCGUUAAUCGGAAUUACUGGGCGUAAAGCGCGCGUAGGCGGCUUUGCAAGUCGGGUGUGAAAUCCCCAGGCUUAACCUGGGAACUGCAUUCGAGACUGCAUUGCUAGAGUAUGGGAGAGGGAAGUGGAAUUUCCGGUGUAGCGGUGAAAUGCGUAGAUAUCGGAAGGAACAUCAGUGGCGAAAGCGACUUCCUGGACCAAUACUGACGCUCAUGUGCGAAAGGCGUGGGGAGCAAACAGG
rnacentral:rRNA from 1 species